rnacentral:rRNA from 1 species
UACGUAGGGGGCAAGCGUUGUCCGGAAUUAUUGGGCGUAAAGGGCUCGUAGGCGGUUUCUUAAGUCUGAUGUGAAAGCCCACAGCUCAACUGUGGAGGGUCAUUGGAAACUGGGGAACUUGAGUGCAGAAGAGGAGAGUGGAAUUCCACGUGUAGCGGUGAAAUGCGUAGAUAUGUGGAGGAACACCAGUGGCGAAGGCGGUGCGCUGGGCCGGAACUGACGCUCAUGAACGAAAGCGUGGGUAGCAAACAGG